GACGAACGCUGGCGGCGUGCUUAACACAUGCAAGUCGAACGGGGCGAAGUGAUAGCUUGCUAUUAUGGAGCCUAGUGGCAAACGGGUGAGUAACGCGUAGGCAACCUGCCCUUCAGAUGGGGACAACACCUCGAAAGGGGUGCCAAUACCGAAUGACGUUUCCUAGUCGCAUGACCUGGAAACCAAAGGCCGGGCAACCGGUCACUGAAGGAUGGGCCUGCGUCUGAUUAGCUAGUUGGUGGGGUAACGGCCACCAAGGCGACGAUCAGUAGCCGGUCUGAGAGGAUGAACGGCCACAUUGGGACUGAGACACGGCCCAAACUCCUACGGGAGGCAGCAGUGGGAAUCUUCCGCAAUGGCGCAAGCCUGACGGAGCAACGCCGCGUGAGUGAAGAAGGUUUUCGGAUCGUAAAGCUCUGUUGAGAGGGACGAGAGAUAUAAUCAGGAAAUGGGUUAUAGAGGACGGUACCUUUCGAGGAAGCCACGGCUAACUACGUGCCAGCAG
rnacentral:rRNA from 1 species